AAACGGACAUGUUGAAGACCAGCGCUGCCGCCGCCUCCUUUUCCUCAUCCUGCGAACGGGACUGAGAGGGGGCCCGCCACCUCUCCGCCUCUGCCUCGGCCGCCCGCCUCGCCGCUUCGGCCGCAGCCUCUUCCUGCCCGGGCCUCGGACUCCGCCGCUCGUCGCCUCCCCCCGGCCACCAGGCCCGGCUGGUUUCCCGGCCCCGCUCCGCCGCGGCGCGAGGUCUAUGUGACCGGCGGGCCCGGAGCAGCCGCCGCCGCAGCGCGAACAUGGACGCCGUCAACGCCUUCAACCAGGAGCUCUUUUCGCUUAUGGAUAUGAAACCUCCCAUCUCUAGAGCCAAGAUGAUUCUCAUCACUAAAGCUGCUAUUAAAGCUAUUAAGCUUUAUAAGCAUGUAGUUCAAAUAGUAGAAAAGUUCAUCAAAAAGUGUAAACCAGAAUACAAGGUUCCGGGAUUAUAUGUAAUUGACUCAAUUGUGCGACAGUCUCGUCAUCAGUUUGGAACUGAUAAAGAUGUUUUUGGGCCAAGAUUCUCUAAAAACAUAACUGCCACAUUCCAAUAUUUAUAUCUUUGUCCAUCUGAAGAUAAGAGUAAAAUAGUUCGUGUGCUGAACCUUUGGCAAAAAAAUGGAGUGUUCAAAAUUGAAAUUAUUCAACCUCUUUUGGACAUGGCAGCAGGAACCAGUAAUGCAGCCCCAGUAGCAGAAAAUGUUACCAAUAAUGAAGGCUCACCUCCACCUCCAGUAAAAGUUUCUUCUGAACCUCCCACACAAGCCACUCCAAACUCCGUCCCAGCUGUACCACAGUUGCCCAGCUCUGAUGCUUUUGCUGCUGUGGCUCAGCUGUUUCAGACAACUCAAGGCCAACAGCUUCAGCAGAUCCUUCAGACUUUUCAACAGCCUCCAAAACCACAGUCUCCUGCCCUUGACAAUGCCGUGAUGGCUCAGGUUCAGGCUAUCACAGCUCAGUUAAAGACAACUCCUACACAACCAUCUGAACAAAAAGCUGCUUUCCCCCCACCUGAACAGAAAACUGCAUUUGACAAGGUAUAUUUCUCUCACAUAACCCACCCCACCAUUUAUAUCACUCAACUUGAAUUAUGGAAAUUAUCACUUCUGUAUCCCUUCUGUGGAUUGUUCAUUAUGUCGUUUUGUAAUUUGAGAGAUUUUCCCCCUCAACAUGAAAAUAUCGAUUAUUUUCCCUGGUUUUAAAUGUGAUAUGUGCUCAGUGCAAAAAUUUCCAGGGUUUGAAGCUGAAUUUACUAGUGUAAAAUGAAAAAAGU
rnacentral:sRNA from 1 species